rnacentral:piRNA from 1 species
UAAUAUACUUGGGUUCGGAAA